AGAGUUUGAUCCUGGCUCAGGAUGAACGCUGGCGGCGUGCUUAACACAUGCAAGUCGAACGAAGCACUUUAUUUGAUUUCCUUCGGGACUGAUUAUUUUGUGACUGAGUGGCGGACGGGUGAGUAACGCGUGGGUAACCUGCCUUGUACAGGGGGAUAACAGUUGGAAACGGCUGCUAAUACCGCAUAAGCGCACAGCAUCGCAUGAUGCAGUGUGAAAAACUCCGGAGGUAUAAGAUGGACCCGCGUUGGAUUAGCUAGUUGGUGAGGUAACGGCCCACCAAGGCGACGAUCCAUAGCCGACCUGAGAGGGUGACCGGCCACAUUGGGACUGAGACACGGCCCAAACUCCUACGGGAGGCAGCAGUGGGGAAUAUUGCACAAUGGGCGAAAGCCUGAUGCAGCGACGCCGCGUGAGCGAAGAAGUAUUUCGGUAUGUAAAGCUCUAUCAGCAGGGAAGAUAAUGACGGUACCUGACUAAGAAGCACCGGCUAAAUACGUGCCAGCAGCCGCGGUAAUACGUAUGGUGCAAGCGUUAUCCGGAUUUACUGGGUGUAAAGGGAGCGCAGGCGGUGCGGCAAGUCUGAUGUGAAAGCCCGGGGCUCAACCCCGGUACUGCAUUGGAAACUGUCGUACUAGAGUGUCGGAGGGGUAAGCGGAAUUCCUAGUGUAGCGGUGAAAUGCGUAGAUAUUAGGAGGAACACCAGUGGCGAAGGCGGCUUACUGGACGAUAACUGACGCUGAGGCUCGAAAGCGUGGGGAGCAAACAGGAUUAGAUACCCUGGUAGCCCACGCCGUAAACGAUGAUUACUAGGUGUGGGGGGACUGACCCCUUCCGUGCCGCAGCAAACGCAAUAAGUAAUCCACCUGGGGAGUACGACCGCAAGGUUGAAACUCAAAGGAAUUGACGGGGGCCCGCACAAGCAGUGGAGUAUGUGGAUUAAUUCGAAGCAACGCGAAGAACCUUACCAGGUCUUGACAUCGUAUGCAUAGCUCAGAGAUGAGUGAAAUCUCUUCGGAGACAUAUAGACAGGUGGUGCAUGGUUGUCGUCAGCUCGUGUCGUGAGAUGUUGGGUUAAGUCCCGCAACGAGCGCAACCCUUACUGUUAGUUGCUACGCAAGAGCACUCUAGCAGGACUGCCGUUGACAAAACGGAGGAAGGUGGGGAUGACGUCAAAUCAUCAUGCCCCUUAUGACCUGGGCCUCACACGUACUACAAUGGCUGUCAACAGAGGGAAGCAAAGCCGCGAGGUGGAGCGAACCCCUAAAAGCAGUCUUAGUUCGGAUUGUAGGCUGCAACCCGCCUACAUGAAGUCGGAAUUGCUAGUAAUCGCAGAUCAGCAUGCUGCGGUGAAUACGUUCCCGGGCCUUGUACACACCGCCCGUCACGCCAUGGGAGUCGGUAACACCCGAAGCCUGUAGUCUAACCGCAAGGAGGACGCAGUCGAAGGUGGGAUUGAUGACUGGGGUGAAGUCGUAACAAGGUA
rnacentral:rRNA from 1 species